UCCCGUAAUAUAGUAUGGAUCAAAAUUAGUCUGUAGUCUAUUACCGGAAUUAACGCUUUGUUUGAAAGCCAGCCCUUCGCCUGCUCUGUGACCAAUGAACUGGCCGCAUGCUUAUACACGAAUAUGACGAUACAGAUUACCGCUUAUUUCAUUGGUCGAGGAACGGUCGCUUGGGGAGAAGAUACCGGAAGAAAACAGACGACAGCAAACAGCACGGCCAACCGGGAAACUAACGCCGACACUGCUGUACAAGUCUCGGACGACAGUACCCCUCCGAGAAAGAAGAAAAAAGGCUUCAAAAAUACAGGGAGGAAUGGGAAAAGGAAAAUUCCUGGCUGGAAAAACUGCGCGAUAACACCUAUAAAGUGCACUGCACCAUGUACCGGCGCAGUUUUUCCAAAGGGCAUGGUGGACUCACUGACCUCAAGCAACAUGCGUCUAGUAGUAGCCACAUGAAAAACAUAAAGGACGUGAAAUUACGGGGAACCCUCGAUCAGUUUGUCGUCCACAAGGCCACGGCAGAAGCAGAUAUGGUUAAACAUCUCUAUGGAUGAGCUUUAUGACGAGUGUGUCACUGCAACCGGCCUUCUGGAGCCCCUCACCAAAGGACCUCAGGAGAAGGAAAAGUGGCAGUCCAAGGGAACAGCAGAGAAGUGUAUAGAAAUUCUUCAGGCAGCUGACCUCUCCAACAUCCAGCCUGUUGUAUCGUUUGUACUCAGCAUCCCAUCUUCCACUGGAUUGGCAGAGAGGAUUUUCUCUCUCAUGAAGAAUAAGUGGACUGAUGUGCGGAACAAAUGUUCUACUGAAAUAAUUAGAUGUGAGCUCAUUGUCACUCUAAAUUGUGACAUGUUUUGCUCAGAGUUUUACUCUGCAGUACUGAAAGACAACUCCUAAAUGCAGCAAGAUCUCAAAAGAAAUACAAAUGGAGAAAAUAGUCUGUUUUCACAUAAUGUAGCAUUGAGCUUUUGAGUUCAUGAGUUUGGACUUUUUUUU